rnacentral:rRNA from 1 species
UACGUAGGGUGCGAGCGUUAUUCGGAAUUACUGGGCGUAAAGCGCGCGCAGGCGGUUCUUCAAGUCAGAGGUGAAAGCCCAGAGCUCAACUCUGGAAUGGCCUUUGAGACUAGAGAACUAGGGUACGGGAGAGGUGAGUGGAAUUCCGAGUGUAGAGGUGAAAUUCGUAGAUAUUCGGAAGAACACCAGUGGCGAAGGCGGCUCACUGGCCCGUUACCGACGCUCAGGCGCGACAGCGUGGGGAGCAAACAGG